rnacentral:rRNA from 1 species
GACCCGAAAGAUAGCGAUCCACGCUCGGUCAAGACGAAGCUAGAGAAAACUCUGGUGAAAGUUCGAAGUGCCUCUGACGUGAAAAUCGAUCGUUGGAAUAUGAUGUAGGAACAAAAAAAUGAAUCGAGCUGUUUUGUAGCUGG